rnacentral:rRNA from 1 species
UACGUAGGGUGCAAGCGUUGUCCGGAAUUAUUGGGCGUAAAGAGCUCGUAGGCGGUUUGUCGCGUCUGCUGUGAAAACCCGCGGCUCAACCUCGGGCCUGCAGUGGGUACGGGCAGACUAGAGUGCGGUAGGGGAGAUUGGAAUUCCUGGUGUAGCGGUGGAAUGCGCAGAUAUCAGGAGGAACACCAAUGGCGAAGGCAGAUCUCUGGGCCGUAACUGACGCUGAGGAGCGAAAGCAUGGGGAGCGAACAGG